rnacentral:rRNA from 1 species
GAACGCUGGCGGCGUGCUUAAUACAUGCAAGUCAACUUGACUUUAGAUAGCAAUAUCGAAAGUAGGGUGGCGCACGGGUGCGUAACGCGUAGGUAAUCUGCCCUGAGGUCUGACAUAACCCGUCGAAAGGCGGGCUAACAUCAGAUGAUAUAUAAUCACGACAUCGUGGAAAUAUCAAAUCUUCGGAGCCUUGGGAUGAGCCUGCGUCUGAUUAGGUAGUUGGCGGAGUAAUAGCCCACCAAGCCUACGAUCAGUAGCUGGUCUGAGAGGAUGAUCAGCCACACUGGAACUGAGACACGGUCCAGACUCCUACGGGAGGCAGCAGUAAGGAAUAUUGCUCAAUGGGGGGAAACCCUGAAGCAGCAACGCCGCGUGAAGGAUGAAAUACUUUUGUAUGUAAACUUCUGUAAGAUGGGAAAAAUAUUCUCCUCGGGAGAAUUGAUUGUACCAUCAGAGUAAGCCCCGGCUAACUACGUG